rnacentral:rRNA from 1 species
UACAGAGGUCCCGAGCGUUGUUCGGAUUCAUUGGGCGUAAAGGGUGCGUAGGCGGCGGGGCAAGUCUGAUGUGAAAUCCCGGGGCUCAACCCCGGAACUGCAUUGGAUACUGCCUUGCUAGAGUACUGGAGAGGGAACUGGAAUUUACGGUGUAGCAGUGAAAUGCGUAGAGAUCGUAAGGAAGGCCAGUGGCGAAGGCGCUCUGCUGGACCAUAACUGACGCCCAGGGACGAAAGCUAGGGGAGCGAAUGGG